rnacentral:rRNA from 1 species
GGAAUAUUGGUCAAUGGGCGGAAGCCUGAACCAGCCAUGCCGCGUGAGGGAAUGAGGCCCUACGGGUCGUGAACCUCUUUUGCCCGGGGACAAUACGGAGCACGAGAUGCCCCGUUGAGGGUACCGGGCGAAUAAGCAUCGGCUAACUCCGUGCCAGCAGCCGCGGUAAUACGGAGGAUGCGAGCGUUAUCCGGAUUUAUUGGGUUUAAAGGGUGCGUAGGCUGUUUGGAAAGUCAGGGGUGAAAGCCCGGCGCCUAACGCCGGAACUGCAUUUGAUACUUCCGAGCUGGAAUACGGAUGCCGUGGGAGGAAUGAGUAGUGUAGCGGUGAAAUGCAUAGAUAUUACUCAGAACACCGAUUGCGAAGGCAUCUCACGAAUCCGUCAUUGACGCUGAGGCACGAAAGCGUGGGGAUCAAACA